rnacentral:rRNA from 1 species
GAUUAACGCUAACGGUAUGCAUAAUACAUGCAAGUCGAACGGAUUGUAGCAAUACAAUUAGUGGCAAACGGGUGAGUAAUAUAUAUUUAAUCUACCCUUUAGAGGGAAAUAACUAGUCGAAAGAUUAGCUAAUAUUCCAUAGGUAAUACAUCACAUGAUAGUAUUAUUAAAGUCGGGUUAAACCGACGCUUUAGGAUGAGAGUGUAUCUUAUCAGAUAGUUGGUGUGGUAAUGGCACACCAAGUCUAUGACGAGUAGCUAUGCUGAGAGGUAGAAUAGCCACAGGGGAACUGAGACACGGUCCCCACUCCUACGGGAGGCAGCAGUAGGGAAUUUUUCACAAUGGGCGAAAGCCUGAUGGAGCAAUACCGUGUGUGUGAUGAAGGUCUUCGGAUUGUAAAACACUUUUAUUUGGGACGAACGAUUAUACUAGGAAAUGAGUAUAAAGUGACUGUACCAAUUGAAUAAGAAACGGCAAACUUCGUGCCAGCAGCCGCGGUAAUACGAAGGUUUCAAGCGUUAUCCGGAUUUACUGGGUGUAAAGGGAUGCGUAGGUGGAUUUGUAAGUCUGACGUUAAAUGGUACAGCUCAACUGUAGCAUGCGUUGGAAACUAUAAAUCUAGAGUAUGAUAGAGAGUUGGAGAACUCCAUGUGAAGCGGUGAAAUGCGUAGAUAUAUGGAAGAAUACCGGCAGCGAAGGCGCCAACUUAGGUCAUUACUGACACUUAGGCUCGAAAGUGUGGGGAGCAAAAAGGAUUAGAUACCCUAGUAGUCCACACUGUAAACGAUGAUCAUUAGAAAUUUGUAUGAUAUACAAGUUUUGUAGCUAACGCGUUAAAUGAUCCACCUGAGUAGUACAUUCGCAAGAAUGAAACUCAAACCGGAAUUGACGGGGACCAGCACAAAUGGUGGAGCAUGUUGUUUAAUUCGUCAACACACGCAAACCUUACCAAGGUUCGAUCCCCUGCAAAGCCCUAGAAAUAGGGUGGAGGUUAACAGGGAGACAGGUGAUGCAUGGUUGUUGUCAGCUCGUGUCGUGAGAUGUUAGGUUAAGUCCUGCAACGAGCGUAACCCCUUUCGUUAGUUAAUUUUCUAGCGAUACUGCCGUACGAUAAUAAGUCGGAGGAAGGUGGGGAUGAUCACAAAUCAUCACGUCCUUUAUAUCUUGGGCUACAAACGUGCUACAAUGGUAGAUACAAAGAGUUGCAAACUAGUAAUGGUAAGCUAAUCUUAAAAAGUCUAUCUCAGUUCGGAUCGAGGAUUGCAAUUCAUCCUCGUGAAGUUGGAAUCAUUAGUAAUCGCGGAUCAGACAUGCCGCGGUGAAUACGUUCUCUGGUC